AGCGAAACGCUGGCGGCGUGCCUAACACAUGCAAGUCGAACGUGAAAAGGGAAACCUGAGUACAGUGGCGUACGGGUGAGUAACGCGUAGGUAAUCUACCCCAGAAUCUGGAAUAACUUGCCGAAAGGCGGGCUAAUACUGGAUAGAGCGAGGGAACUCGUAAGAGAGUUUUUCGGGAAAGGUAGCCCGCAAGGGCCUUCGUUCUGGGCUGAGCCUGCGUCUCAUUAGCUAGUUGGUAAGGUAACGGCUUACCAAGGCGAUGAUCGGUAGCUGGUCUGUGAGGAUGAACAGCCACACUGGGACUGAAACACGGUCCAGAAUCCUACGGGAGGCAGCAGUGGGGAAUCUUGCGCAAUGGACGAAAGUCUGACGCAACCACGCCGCGUGAGUGAAGAAGGCCUUCGGGUUGUAAAGCUCUGUCGGAUGGGACGAACAUCUUCAUAGUGAAUAGCUAUGAGGACUGACGGUACCAUCAAAAGAAGCACCGGCUAACUCCGUG
rnacentral:rRNA from 1 species